GACGAACGCUGGCGGCGUGCUUAACACAUGCAAGUCGAACGGAAAGGCCCUGCUUGCAGGGUACUCGAGUGGCGAACGGGUGAGUAACACGUGGGUGAUCUGCCCUGCACUUCGGGAUAAGCCUGGGAAACUGGGUCUAAUACCGGAUAGGAGCCAUUUUUAGUGUGAUGGUUGGAAAGUUUUUUCGGUGUAGGAUGAGCUCGCGGCCUAUCAGCUUGUUGGUGGGGUAAUGGCCUACCAAGGCGGCGACGGGUAGCCGGCCUGAGAGGGUGGACGGCCACAUUGGGACUGAGAUACGGCCCAGACUCCUACGGGAGGCAGCAGUGGGGAAUAUUGCACAAUGGGCGCAAGCCUGAUGCAGCGACGCCGCGUGGGGGAUGACGGCCUUCGGGUUGUAAAAUCCAUUCGCUAGGGACGAAGCUUUUUGUGACGGUACCUAGAUAAGAAGCACCGGCUAACUACGUG
rnacentral:rRNA from 1 species